AAUCAGACUAGAGGAACACGAUAUGCAUCAAAUAAAAUUUUAAGGUUUGAAUGAAAAUAAUUUGCUUGUUCUUGCAAGGAAUUCAAUUGCAGCAUAGCAUUGAAGCCAUGAAAACUUUAUUACAUCUUUAAAAUUAGAUCAAAAGAAUAUUUUCAUAUUUCUUACCUAUAAAUCAUAACUUCAAAACUACCUCAUCUACAAUCAAUGAAAUCAAAUGCACACUUCAUCGUUUGCCACUUAUUCUCAAGUCAACAUAGUACAAGUAAUAUGAUUGUUUCAUACUAUUUGACAUUUUUCUUCUUACUAUUUUUAUUUCUGCACUCUGUUAUAGGUAGACGUACACAGUUACAG
rnacentral:misc_RNA from 1 species